rnacentral:rRNA from 1 species
UACGUAGGGUGCAAGCGUUGUCCGGAAUUAUUGGGCGUAAAGGGCUCGUAGGCGGUCCAUCGCGUCGGGAGUGAAAAGCUGGGGCUCAACCCCAGUCCUGCUUCCGAUACGGGUGGACUAGAGGUAUGCAGGGGAGAACGGAAUUCCGGGUGUAGCGGUGGAAUGCGUAGAUAUCCGGAAGAACACCGGAGGCGAAGGCGGCUUGCUGGACCUGGUCUGACGCUGAGGCGCGAAAGCGUGGGGAGCGAACAGG